rnacentral:rRNA from 1 species
AUUGAACGCUGGCGGCAGGCCUAAUACAUGCAAGUCGAGCGAACAGAUGAAGUGCUUGCACUUCUGACGUUAGCGGCGAACGGGUGAGUAACACGUAAGGAAUCUACCUAUAAGCGGGGGAUAACAUUCGGAAACGGGUGCUAAUACCGCAUAAUAUCUUCUUCCGCAUGGAAGAAGAUUGAAAGACGGCUCUGCUGUCACUUAUAGAUGACCUUGCGGUGCAUUAGUUAGUUGGUGGGGUAAUGGCCUACCAAGACGAUGAUGCAUAGCCGACCUGAGAGGGUGAUCGGCCACAUUGGGACUGAGACACGGCCCAAACUCCUACGGGAGGCAGCAGUAGGGAAUCUUCCGCAAUGGGCGAAAGCCUGACGGAGCAAGGCCGCAUGAGUGAAGAAGGCAUUCGGGUCGUAAAACUCUGUUAUAAGAGAAGAACAAAUUGUAGAGUAACUGCUACAGUCUUGACGGUAUCUUAUCAGAAAGCCACGGCUAACUACGUGCCAGCAGCCGCGGUAA